rnacentral:rRNA from 1 species
CUGUGUGUUGUUGGGUAGGGGAGCGUUCUGUAAGCCUGUGAAGGUGUGUCGUGAGGCAUGCUGGAGGUAUCAGAAGUGCGAAUGCUGACAUAAGUAACGAUAAAGCGGGUGAAAAGCCCGCUCGCCGGAAGACCAAGGGUUCCUGUCCAACGUUAAUCGGGGCAGGGUGAGUCGACCCCUAAGGCGAGGCCGAAAGGCGUAGUCGAUGGGAAACGGGUUAAUAUUCCCGUACUUGGUGUUACUGCGAAGGGGGGACGGAGAAGGCUAUGUUGGCCGGGCGACGGUUGUCCCGGUUUAAGCGUGUAGGUGUGUGUUCCAGGUAAAUCCGGUUCACUUUAACACUGAGGCGUGACGACGAGGCACUACGGUGCUGAAGCAACAAAUGCCCUGCUUCCAGGAAAAGCCUCUAAGCAUCAGGUAACAUCAAAUCGUACCCCAAACCGACACAGGUGGUCAGGUAGAGAAUACCAAGGCGCUUGAGAGAACUCGGGUGAAGGAACUAGGCAAAAUGGUGCCGUAACUUCGGGAGAAGGCACGCUGACAUGUAGGUGAAGUGAUUUACUCAUGGAGCUGAAGUCAGUCGAAGAUACCAGCUGGCUGCAACUGUUUAUUAAAAACACAGCACUGUGCAAACACGAAAGUGGACGUAUACGGUGUGACGCCUGCCCGGUGCCGGAAGGUUAAUUGAUGGGGUCAGCGCAAGCGAAGCUCCUGAUCGAAGCCCCGGUAAACGGCGGCCGUAACUAUAACGGUCCUAAGGUAGCGAAAUUCCUUGUCGGGUAAGUUCCGACCUGCACGAAUGGCGUAAUGAUGGCCAGGCUGUCUCCACCCGAGACUCAGUGAAAUUGAACUCGCUGUGAAGAUGCAGUGUACCCGCGGCAAGACGGAAAGACCCCGUGAACCUUUACUAUAGCUUGACACUGAACAUUGAGCCUUGAUGUGUAGGAUAGGUGGGAGGCUUUGAAGUGUGGACGCCAGUCUGCAUGGAGCCGACCUUGAAAUACCACCCUUUAAUGUUUGA